AUAACAAGUACUACGCGAAGGAUAGGGUGGAGUCCCAGGCAUUGCUUGACGGCCGGACGCGGAGACGCCCACGUCUCCCGCAAGCGCACGCCUGAACCCAGGGCAGCCGGCUGGGGCGCCCAGGACCAGGCCUGGCCUACCGCGGGCUGCCCUUCACAGAGCUGCAGGAGAAAUCUAGUUGUAUUGUGCACGCAUUUCCUUAACCCUUACUAGUAUUUUUUUUGAUUGAUCAGUUUUUGAUGCGGACGCCUAAGUACCCUGCUGGUCCACAGCCAGGAUUAGAAUGAGGCAGGAGCCUCAGGUGCAGAAUUUAAGGAACCGCCAAAAGAGCUCCGUAAUGAAGAUGAGCAAUAUUUGGAUGCAACAUUUUUCAAAAUAAAAAUUAAUGCAAAAAAGUCUAUGAUUAGUAAAACGCUGCAAUUUUAAAUAAAAAAAAAUCUGACUGCAUUUUGACGACUCGAUCACCUCUCUUGCCUCACAGGAGUCUGGGCCCUAGAGAUAGCUUUUCGGUGAAGUGAACUUUUUUAUCUUUCGAUGGGAUCUUGCUCUGUCACCCAAGCCAGAGU